UAUGCAUGGCUAACUAGCCACAUACUUCCACAUUUACUGAAGUGGUGAAGGGGCAGCAGUGAUUACUGCACAAUUUGUAAUACUUAAAACGGAGAAGGAAACCCUUCUGAUAGAGCUCAUAAACUUUUAAAGUUUGCAAGAGGGAUUCCCUCCUGAAACUUUCCUAAUGUUAGAGGAGAGUAUGUUCUGGUGGUGUCUAAUCAAAAAGUUGCAAUUAUAGGUUUUACACAAACUAUUGCCAAUUUGUUGAAAGACAGAGCUUUGAAACCCUGGACAAUGAGAUUCAUCACGUUUUUCUUUUAAAAACUUAGGAAAUUUCAUACGUUACCAUAAGGAGAACAAAGAAGUUUCCCAAGUAAGCAAUCCAAGCCAGAAAAUGCCAUACUUAAACUUUAAUUGUAUCCCCUUCUCUCUAUAUGCAUGAUACAAGUUCAAUUCCAUAAACUCAUUUCUCAAAGACACAAUACUAUAAAAUGCAAUAUGUAAUCUAUACAUAAGAGUCCAUGAAAAUAGUUUAUAUUAAGGAUAUACAUUAUAUUAAAAGAAUACAUAAAACUAUACCAAUGUAACAUACUGCAUAUUAAACAUACAGAUUAAUUCUGAACAUAUGCCCACAUCGAUUCACAAAACUAAAUUAGGUGUAAAUUAAUAGCCUUAUCCCUUGGAAUACACUUAAAAUUUAACAAAAUGGUAUGUAAUACAUUGGUGGUAAUAAAUUAAACAAGCCUUAAACAAAAUAUGAAAUGUUUAAAAAAAGUCAGAUAUACUAAACAUUUAGAAUACUGAAAUUAGACAAACAAAUGUAAAAAAUAAAAGUAUACAUAUACAUUAAAAUUAUAGAAAAAAUUUACUUGACAAACAGUAUUGUAAUAAAAGACUCAAUACACAAGGUAGAGGAGUUAUGAGUUGCAUAUGUAACUUUAAUUGUGGUGUUUCCUAACUUGUGUGUUUUUAAUUAUGUGACCUUAAUGUUCUCUUAAAUUUUGUCGAAGGGUUAUACCUAAGGGUUAAACUUGAUGCAACAAGAACCAGGAAAUUCAAAGUUAUGGACAAUGUCAAAUUUUUUUUUUUUUGGAGGGGUAAAUAUUCCUAUAAACCGCUAGUUUUCAAAUUGUAAUCCAUAGAGCAUUUGCUGAUUGUCCACUGCUUGCCAGAAACAUGGUGCAGGAUCUCAUCUUUGUUUAAAGCUGCUAAAUUGUAUUAAAAAGACAGCCAAAAAUACUUUAAAUAAUUUCCUAUUCCUUUUCAACAUAAGGAAAUCCUGCACUUGCUGUAGGGAUGUUAUACCAUCACACAGGGAGGUAGUCUAUGUGGUGAUGAAUGAGAAGGGAGGAGGUCAACAAGAAAUUAUUUUGAUAUAGUGUAUACUAGAAGAGGUUGAGAACCCACCAGUUUAACGAAAGUUUACAUUGACUAAACUAUAGCUUUUUAUUUAAUAAGACACUGCUCCAGAGCCUCCUCAUUAAUUAUUCUAGCUAACAUCUCUCAUUUCCUUUAUUAGCACAACAAACAUAACACAAUACGUGUUUAAUUUCCAUGUCUAUCCUGAUACUCCUAAGCAAGUAAAUUCUUCAACCUUGAAACAUCUGACUUUAAGAACCAAUAUUGCAACAAGUCUAUAGGGAAAUAGGAAUAUUAGGCAGCCAAGAGUGCUCCAUAACCAGAUAUAAAUUGAAAGUUCACGGUUUUGUUUUGUUUUUGUUUUUUUUGCUCCUCCUAACAGCAAAUUCUACAGAUCAUGAUGUCAAGUUUCUUCCCUCUGGCAAUCUAUGAACAAGUGGAAAAAAAAGCAAGUUCCAUGGUACAGAAGCCCUCUCCUAUUAUUACAGGAAUAAGGUCCAGGAGUUAAAGAAAAAUUGAAGUGAAUAUUUGUUUUUGCAGCAAUAAUAGCAAGAAAAUGAGUUUCCAGAACAGUUUCAGAAACAGCAAUCUGUUUUGGUAAAUAUUCAGCAGCAGAAUGUUGCUGGCCUCUAUUUUGUUACAUGGUGAAACUAGUCCUCUUGCAAUGAUGUAAGUUACAAUGAAUGAAAUAAGAACUCACCAUCUGAGUGCAUGAUAAAUGUGUAGAUAAAAGUUCCAUUUUAUUGGUUGAUAGAAACAGAUUUUAAGCCACUAAUUUAAAAGCCUUAGCAACUUUUGAGAGUUAUCUUUAUCGUAUAUUCAAAUAUUGAACUGUUAUUGCGUGCAUCAUACUCUUCAGUCUGUCAAGUUGUCCUUUCCCUGGGUAAUGGUUACAUUUAGAUUUUGAGGGG